ensembl:lncRNA LINC02401 long intergenic non-protein coding RNA 2401
GAGGAGCAAGAGCUCCCCAACGUGGAGGUGCCGCAGCCCUUUGCUUAGAUAGCCCUUUGCUACCUAAUUAACAUAAAAUUAAUCAGUUCUUCCAAAAUGGACAAGUGUUUAAAAAAGAAUUCUGCCAAAGAAAAUGCGGACUGAAGAUAACGCAGAUAAGGCAGCUACAGGUUAAACUACAUGAAACUGUCAAUAUUUGCUCAGUUUUUAUAUUUAAAAGAUAGCAAUUGAAUAUAAUUCAAACUAAUUAUAUUAAAUGCCACUCCUCCAAGUACUAAUCAGCCACGAUUUAGAUAAAAACAAUGACCAUCUAAUGAAACUCGACAUAAAUAGAGCUCAAAAAGGUAAAAUUAUGAAAAGGCCAUUUGAAAUAAGGACAUACAUCCACUCUCUUUAAUUAUGAACUAUGAACAGAAUAAGUAUAUAUUUUGCUUUAAGAUAGUAGCUAUUGAUAGAAUGAAGACAUCACAUGUGAAUUGCUUACUUCAUCUUUGCAUCAACUUUUAAUAUUUAGAUUUGGGGCAUAUUUUAUAAUGAACAUAACAUAUGAGCAUAACAGUCGUGAUUAACGUAUACAAUUAAAGAUAUGUGGAAAUGACUCCAUCUCCGACCACACAUCCUCUGAGUAAUUUUGAUGGGGAUGGCUUAUGUUCUACUGCCACCUCGUGGUGGGCAUUCUGUGAACAUGCAUCUUGGAACAGUGGGGAGAACCAGUUUGGACUUCUGAGGAUCCAAAAGCCCAAGAAAAAAAUCUGAGUUCUCACGACAAAGUCACUUCCUGCUACAACACCUGGAAAAUGUCAUGACCCGAGCUAGUCUCACUUCAGAGUCCCUGGUUUCUAGUACGGUGCCUGACAGAUAGAUGACUUUCUUUAUAUGUUGCUGAAGACAGGCAGAGAGGAAGAAAGGAAGAGAGGAUAAAGGGAGGAAUAAACUUGAUAUAAGCAUCUUUGCAUAAUUAACAACUGGGUCAAAUUUUCUUCAUUUCAUUGAGAUUCUUGAUACAAGCCUCUGCUGAUGAAUUGGAUUCCAAAAAGCAGAUAUUGUUGUCCAGGCCACACCAUACGGGACUUACCACUCCCAGUUGCUAACAUCUGCACGUAUUUGCCUGGAGGUCUCCUCUGGUCACCAGAUCCUACUCUGCCUGGGCCACAUGACAAGGUGAUGUGCUGAGGAACAAAAGCCCCCAGGAGUAUCCCUCAAGCAGUGUUGGACUGGAGUUGAGGUCAUGAUCCACAUGAAAAACUGAGGGAAGACAUCCAGGACCUGCUGGAGAGCACAUGGAAAAAAGUUGGGACACAGAAAAGGAAAGCAGCAAGAGUCGGGCAGAGAUUGAUCCCCAAGGAACUUGGAAUACCAUGGGAAAGGUUAAUCGUCCUCGAAGAGAGAGAGAAACAAAAGAAAAAUGAAAAAAGGAAAGAAAUUUUCUCCACAAAGACUCAGAAAAGCUACAAUCCUAAGAAGUCAAAACUAUAAUCGGCUUGAGUUGAAGAAUCCAAGGAUCUUUACAGUUUUGUGACCUGUCCAAGGUUACACAGCUCACCUUUUCAUUUUGCACUGGGCCCAAGUUAUGUAGCCAGCCUGCUUAGAGAUCUCUACUUACCCCAGUUUUCUGAUUUAUAAAACAAAAAUAAUAAUAAUAUUGUUAAAUUAAAUGAAGCCUAAAGCUGCCUCCCUAUGUAUUUUUAAUUUGGCCUAAAGGUUUCUUCGUACAGAGUGAACUAUAACCUGACUAGAUGUGUGAUCUACUCUUGUGCCAAUCAUCAAGUUUUAACCAAUCGAAGGGAGCCAACUGCUUAAACCAUGUUCAAAUAAGGCAAAUGUCCAGCUGUAACCACUUCAGCUGUUUCUGUGCCUCACUUCUGUCUUCUACACAUCACUUUCCUUUUUCUAUCCAUAAAUGUUUUUUGAUCAUGCAGCAGCAUGAAGUUGAUCUGAACCUACUUUGGUUUGGGAGACUGCCCAAUUCGUGAAUCAAUUAAACUGUUAAAUUUAA